rnacentral:rRNA from 1 species
UGAGGAAUAUUGGUCAAUGGGCGAGAGCCUGAACCAGCCAAAUCGCGUGAAGGAAGACUGCCUUAUGGGUUGUAAACUUCUUUUAUACAGGAAUAAAAAAGGGGACGUGUCCCUUAUUGCAUGUACUGUAUGAAUAAGCAUCGGCUAACUCCGUGCCAGCAGCCGCGGUAAUACGGAGGAUGCGAGCGUUAUCCGGAUUUAUUGGGUUUAAAGGGUGCGCAGGCGGGCUUUUAAGUCAGCGGUGAAAUCUCGGGCUUAACCCCGAAACUGCCGUUGAAACUGGGAGUCUUGAGUAUGGAUGAAGUAGGCGGAAUUCGUUGUGUAGCGGUGACAUGCUUAGAUAUAACGAGGAACUCCGAUUGCGUAGGCAGCUUACUAAGCCAUAACUGACGCUCAAGCACGAAAGCGUGGGGAUCAAACAGGAUUAGAUACCCUGGUAGUCCACGCCGUAAACGAUGAUUACUAGUUGUAUGCGAUAUACCGUAUGUGACUAAGCGAAAAGCGAU